CAGCCGCGGUAAUACGUAGGGCGCAAGCGUUGUCCGGAAUUAUUGGGCGUUAAGAGCUCGUAGGCGGCUUGUCGCGUCGAUUGUGAAAGCCCGGGGCUUAACUCCGGGUCUGCAGUCGAUACGGGCAGGCUAGAGUGUGGUAGGGGAGAUCGGAAUUCCUGGUGUAGCGGUGAAAUGCGCAGAUAUCAGGAGGAACACCGGCGGCGAAGGCGGAUCUCUGGGCCAUUACUGACGCUGAGGAGCGAAAGCGUGGGGAGCGAACAGGAUUAGAUACCCUGGUAGUCCACGCCGUAAACGGUGGGCACUAGGUGUGGGCGACAUUCCACGUCGUCGGUGCCGCAGCUAACGCAUUAA
rnacentral:rRNA from 1 species